GCCAGGCAUGGUGGCUCAUGCCUGUAGUCCCAACUACUCAGGAGGCUGAGGUGAGAGGAUUGCUUGAGCCCAGGAGUUAGAGGCUGCAGUGAGCCACGAUCAUGCCACUGUGUUCCAGCCUGGGCAACAGAGCAAGACCCUGUCUCAU
rnacentral:sRNA from 1 species